GGUGCGGAAAGUAAAGGGUGAUCUCACUACUACAUUUUUAAUCUAAUACAACGGUUCAAAAUUAGCUAAUACAACGGCCAAUUUCAUACCGUUAUAUUAGACUAGGCUAAUACAACGAAUUAUACUAAAACAGGUCUAAUACAACGGUUUAUAAGAUAUACUAAUCCGUUGUAUUAGAUGAGCUAAUCCAACGGAUUAUUCUUCUAAUACAACGGAUAGUGUUCAUUGAGCUAAUCCAACGGAUCAACCCAAAAUAAAAAAAAAAAAGUGAAUAACACCUAAUACAACGGAUGGUUAAAAAAAUAAAUAAAUAAAUAAACAAGGACCUAAUCCAACGGUUUUGUCCAAAAAUAAUAUAAAAAAAAACCGGGAAAUGGUGAAAUAUUUUAGAGGCAAAAAUAAAAUUGAAACCCAUUAAACUUCUCAAUUGCCCUCGCCAUUGCACGCGAAGACUCUUCUCAGUCGCCCCCUCGCCAUUGCUGCUCUGCUUCGUUCUCAGUCGCCAUUGCAAAUAAUCUUCUCAUAAAAAGAGGAGAGAGAAUUUGGCUAUUGCUGCUGCUAAGACUUUCAUUGCUCGAACAUACACCCUCUCGCAACCUUUCUUCUUAUCUCUCUACUAAUUCCUCCUCUGGUAAAUUCCUUCUCUUUCUUUGAUUUUUUGCAAUUCUUUUAGCUAAUUUUGUGAUUUAAUUUUGUUCAACAGAGAAAAGUUGCAAUUUGGAUUCUAAAAUCUGUAAUUUUUCUAGUUUUGUUUGGAUAAUUUUAUGGUUGGUAAUUUUUUGAUGAUUUGUUGAGCCGUUUUAAGCCAAUUUUAUCAAGAUGAAUUAGAUGAUUGUAUCUGUAUUUUUUUUUUUUGGUAUUAUUGAAUUAUAAUAGACGCUCAAUUUUCAGUUAGAGUGAUGGUAUAAAGAUAAUUGUUGUAUGGUGGUGAAUAGUGCAUAUAACAAUGACAAUUUUCGUAAUUGAAAAGGCUGGUUGAUAGAGUAACAUUGAAAAUUAUGAAUUAGUACUUAGGGUGUAAAUCAUGGCUUGGGUUUGUGAGUCAUAAUUUUUUAAUACUCUGACAUUAUUUUGUUAUUAACAAAAUAUAUUUUCUGUUAACUUGUGAUAGCAUGGAGAAUUGCCUAGAUGUUAGUGAAAUUAUAUUAACUUUUGAGACUUUUGAGUUUGUCUUAUUAACUUGUGAUAACAAGACCAUCAAUAACACUUCAGACCAUGAUCCAAGAAUGCUUGCAGCAGGUUUUCUAAGUGAAGAUUAAUACUGAUGCUGCGAUCUUAAAUGAGAAAUAAGUUGGCUUGGGAUUGGUGGUUAAUGACUCAAAUGGUGCUCUUAUUGCUACUGCUGCAAGACGAAAACUGGGAUCCAAGUGUUGCCAAGGCUGCUGCUCUUUGUUUGGGAUGGAGCUUGCACAAUGUCUUGGCUAUACUAAAGUGUGUUUGGAGACUGAUACACUGAGUGUGGGUCAGGAAAUUGAGAGCAAUCAACAGGGAUACAACUAUAUUCAUUUGUUUAUUGAUCGUGUUAUUUGUAUGUUUAAGGAAAAGGGAAUAUAUUAAAACUUAAUAAACCACAAAGAGUUUGAGAGAUGCUGCCAUAGCAACUCCAUUAACCAAGCCAAAACAUCGUUUAACCAAAGCCAUAAAACAGAUCCAAACCAAAAUACAUAGAAGCACAGGUACCAUAAAUUGAAUUUAAAAAAUUGAAUAGAUAACAAUAAUAGACACAACAACUAUCAAGAAGCACAGAACAAGUAAAGAAAGUAAAAGAACACAGAAGAAAAAAAAAAUGGCUAAAAUUUAAGGUUUUCAAGAACAAGGGAUUUUAAUUCUAUCAAAAAGCUUUUAAUAUUUCAAAGCAGUAAGAACUAUUCUACAAACUUUCUGCCUUUUGAGCUGUUUUAAACAGGCAAAAGAUACACUUUCUUGUUAAUUUUGACUGUGAAAGUGUAAGGGGGAAACUAACUCAAGACAUUUGGAUAGACGUGCUUUCAAUUUGACUAUGAAAGGAAUGGGGAAAACUCACCACCUGAUAAUUAGAUUAGAAAUCUAACCUAGUUUCACCAGGAGGGAUGGGAAUACAACCAAGCAACCCAGUGGCUUCAUAUAUCUAGUUCAUGUAUAAUAGUAAAUGACAAAAGGUAGAGAGAUUGUAAUUGUAUUUUUUUUUUUUGAAAAAAAAACAUACACCGUACUUCAUGAAAUUUAAAUGUUGGUUCGAUAUCCCUUUGUACAUAAACUGAUAAACAUAUAGCCAUACACACAUACAGAGUAAAAACUCAAGCCGAAGAAAGCAUCAAUAUGAUACUUUUCUUAUUUAUUGACAUUACUUUGGCUCAGACAUUGCUCAUAAUUAUGCUGCAACCUUUGUUCUUUUUUAUGUAAAUCUGUUUGGGUGGGCGUAUUUGGACAAUUUGCUAU